UACGUAGGGCGCAAGCGUUAAUCGGAAUUACUGGGCGUAAAGCGUGCGCAGGCGGUGAUGUAAGACAGGUGUGAAAUCCCCGGGCUUAACCUGGGAACUGCAUUUGUGACUGCAUCGCUGGAGUGCGGCAGAGGGGGAUGGAAUUCCGCGUGUAGCAGUGAAAUGCGUAGAUAUGCGGAGGAACACCGAUGGCGAAGGCAAUCCCCUGGGCCUGCACUGACGCUCAUGCACGAAAGCGUGGGGAGCAAACAGG
rnacentral:rRNA from 1 species